UACGGAGGUGGCAAGCGUUGCUCGGAAUCACUGGGCGUAAAGGGCGCGUAGGCGGGGAGGUAAGUCGGGUGUGAAAUCCCUCGGCCCAACCGAGGAACUGCGCCCGAGACUGCUUCUCUUGAGUCCCGGAGAGGAAGAUGGAAUUCCCGGUGGAGCGGUGAAAUGCGUAGAUAUCGGGAGGAACGCCGGUGGCGAAAGCGACUGUCUGGGGUGCCUGUGACGCUGAGGCGCGAAAGCCAGGGGAUCAAACGGG
rnacentral:rRNA from 1 species